AUUGAACGCUGGCGGCAGGCCUAACACAUGCAAGUCGAGCGAGCGGCGGACGGGUGAGUAAUUUAUGGGAGAGUGCCUGAUGGAGGGGGGGAGAUAAUAGAAACGAUAGCUAAUACACCAUACGCUCCGAUGUGCCCAGUUGGGAUUAGCUAGUUGGUGGGGUAACGGCUCACCUAGGCGACGAUCCCUAGCUGGUCUGAGAGGAUGACCAGCCACACUGGAACGGAGACACGGUCCAGACUCCUACGGGAGGCAGCAGUGGGGAAUAUUGCACAAUGGGCGGAAGCCUGAUGCAGCCAUGCCGCGUGUGUGAAGAAGGCCUUCGGGUUGUAAAGCACUUUCAGCGGGGAGGCGUUACCCGCAGAAGAAGCACCGGCUAACUCCGUGCCAGCAGCCGCGGUAAUAC
rnacentral:rRNA from 1 species